rnacentral:rRNA from 1 species
GACAACGUCAACAAUGAAGAAGGCCAAGAAGAAGCACAAGAUGAAGAGGAUGUUCCACCCCGACCCAAGCAAAAGCUUUCACGAGUUCAAGCAAGAAUUGCUAAGGAUCAUCCCGUCGAGCAAAUCUACAAUGAUAUCCAAACCGGGAGAAUCACUCGCUCUAAAACUCGUUUAGCUAACUUUUGUGAACAUUACUCAUUCAUCUCUAGAAUUGAACCUAUGAAGGUUGAAGAAGCAUUGGAGGAUCCGGACUGGAUAAAUGCUAUGCAUGAAGAGCUACACAACUUUGAGAGAAAUCAAGUGUGGACAUUUGUCGAGAAGCCCGACAACAACCACAACAUCAUUGGUACCAAAUGGGUGUUUCGCAACAAGCAAGAUGAAGAUGGACAAGUGGUUCGCAACAAAGCAUGUCUCGUCGCCCAAGGCUACACACAAGUUGAAGGUAUGGACUAUGGUGAGACAUAUGCUCCCGUUGCUAGACUUGAGUCCAUUCGCAUCUUACUUGCUUAUGCUAAUCACCAUGAUAUCACCUUGUACCAA